UUACGGCCACAUCAAUUGAAAUACCGGUUCCCCUACGAUCACCGAAGUUAAGCAACGUCGAGCCGGGUUAGUACCUAGAUGGGUGACCGCUUGGGAACACCAGGUGAUGUAAG